rnacentral:rRNA from 1 species
AUUGAACGCUGGCGGCAGGCCUAACACAUGCAAGUCGAGCGAGUGGCGGACGGGUGAGUAAUGUCUGGGGAUCUGCCCGAUAGAGGGGGAUAACUACUGGAAACGGUAGCUAAUACCGCAUACCAUCAGAUGUGCCCAGAUGGGAUUAGCUAGUUGGUGGGGUAACGGCUCACCUAGGCGACGAUCCCUAGCUGGUCUGAGAGGAUGACCAGCCAAACUGGAACAGAGACACGGUCGAGACUCCUCCGGGAGGCAGCAGUGGGGAUGGUUGAAGAAUGGGCGCAAUCCUUAUGCAACCAUGCCGCGUGUAUGAAGAAGGCCGUCGGGUUGUAAAGUACUUUCAGUCGGGAGGAGUUACCGACAGGAGAAGCACCGGCUAACUCCGUGCCAGCCGCCGCGGUGAUAC